rnacentral:rRNA from 1 species
UGCUUAACACAUGCAAGUCGACCCAUACCCUGGGGCUUGCUCCAGGGAUAAGUGGCGCACGGGUGCGUAAUACGUAGGUAAUGUACCUGUUGGUGUGGAAUAACCGACCGAAAGGUUGGCUAAUACUACAUAAGUUCCCUUGAGGUUUGCCAAUGGGGAAGAAAGGGGGGCAACUCCCGCCGACAGAUCAGCCUGCGUCCCAUCAGCUAGUUGGUAGGGUAAUGGCCUACCAAGGCGAUGACGGGUAGCGGAAGCGAGAGCUUGAUCCGCUACACUGGGACUGCGACACGGCCCAGACUCCUACGGGAGGCAGCAGUUUGGAAUAUUGGACAAUGGGCGAAAGCCUGAUCCAGCGACGCCGCGUGCACGAUGAAGGCCUUCGGGUCGUAAACCGC